GUUGAAACGCCAUUUCUCGUAUGAUCACCGAAGUUAAGCAACGUCGACCCUGGUCAGUACCUAGAUUAGUGACCGUUUGGGAAUGCCAGGUGUUGUAAG